GAUGAACGCUGGCGGCGUGCCUAAUACAUGCAAGUCGAGCGAACAGAUGAGGAGCUUGCUCCUCUGACGUUAGCGGCGGACGGGUGAGUAACACGUGGAUAACCUACCUAUAAUACUGGGAUAACUUCGGGAAACCGGAGCUAAUACCGGAUAAUAUAUUGAACCGCAUGGUUCAAUAGUGAAAGACGGUUUUGCUGUCACUUAUAGAUGGAUCCGCGCCGCAUUAUCUAGUUGGUAAGGUAACGGCUUACCAAGGCAACGAUGCGUAGCCGACCUGAGAGGGUGAUCGGCCACACUGGAACUGAGACACGGUCCAGACUCCUACGGGAGGCAGCAGUAGGGAAUCUUCCGCAAUGGGCGAAAGCCUGACGGAGCAAAGCCGCGUGAGUGAUGAAGGUCUUCGGAUCGUAAAACUCUGUUAUUAGGGAAGAACAAAUGUGUAAGUAACUAUGCACGUCUUGACGGUACCUAAUCAGAAAGCCACGGCUAACUACGUG
rnacentral:rRNA from 1 species